CCAAUUGUUGCCUCGGCGGAUCAGCCCGCUCCCGGUAAAACGGGACGGCCCGCCAGAGGACCCCUAAACUCUGUUUCUAUAUGUAACUUCUGAGUAAAACCAUAAAUAAAUCAAAACUUUCAACAACGGAUCUCUUGGUUCUGGCAUCGAUGAAGAACGCAGCAAAAUGCGAUAAGUAAUGUGAAUUGCAGAAUUCAGUGAAUCAUCGAAUCUUUGAACGCACAUUGCGCCCGCCAGUAUUCUGGCGGGCAUGCCUGUUCGAGCGUCAUUUCAACCCUCAAGCCCAGCUUGGUGUUGGGACUCGCGAGUCAAAUCGCGUUCCCCAAAUUGAUUGGCGGUCACGUCGAGCUUCCAUAGCGUAGUAGUAAAACCCUCGUUACUGGUAAUCGUCGCGGCCACGCCGUUAAACCCCAACUUCUGAAUGUUGACCUCGGAUCAGGUAGGAAUACCCGCUGAACUUAAGCAUAUCAAUAAGCGG
rnacentral:rRNA from 1 species